CCUACGGGAGGCUGCAGUGGGGAUUAUUGCGCAAUGGGGGGAACCCUGACGCAGCAACGCCGCGUGAGUGACGAAGGCCUUCGGGUUGUAAAGCUCUUUAGGCGGGGAGCAAUGCCGGGCACGUGUGCCCGGAGGGAGAGUACCCGCAGAAUAAGCAUCGGCUAACUCCGUGCCAGCAGCCGCGGUAAUACGGAGGAUGCGAGCGUUAUCCGGAUUUAUUUGGUUUAAAGGGUGCGUAGGCGGAUCGUUAAGUCAGUGGUCAAAUUGAGGGGCUCAACCCCUUCCCGCCAUUGAAACUGGCGUUCUUGAGUGGAAGAGAAGUAUGCGGAAUGAGUGGUGUAGCGGUGAAAUGCAUAGAUAUCACGCAGAACCCCGAUUGCGAAGGCAGCAUGCCGGCUUCCGACUGACGCUGAAGCACGAAAGCGUGGGGAUCGAACAGGAUUAGAUACCCUUGUAGUC
rnacentral:rRNA from 1 species